rnacentral:rRNA from 1 species
GACGAACGCUGGCGGCGUGCUUAACACAUGCAAGUCGAACGGAAAGGCCCUGCUUUUGUGGGGUGCUCGAGUGGCGAGCGGGUGAGUAACACGUGAGUAACCUGCCCUUGACUUUGGGAUAACUUCAGGAAACUGGGGCUAAUACCGGAUAGGAGCUCCUGCUGCAUGGUGGGGGUUGGAAAGUUUCGGCGGUUGGGGAUGGACUCGCGGCUUAUCAGCUUGUUGGUGGGGUAGUGGCUUACCAAGGCUUUGACGGGUAGCCGGCCUGAGAGGGUGACCGGCCACAUUGGGACUGAGAUACGGCCCAGACUCCUACGGGAGGCAGCAGUGGGGAAUAUUGCACAAUGGGCGGAAGCCUGAUGCAGCAACGCCGCGUGCGGGAUGACGGCCUUCGGGUUGUAAACCGCUUUCGCCUGUGACGAAGCGUGAGUGACGGUAAUGGGUAAAGAAGCACCGGCUAACUACGUGCCAGCAGCCGCGGUGAUACGUAGGGUGCGAGCGUUGUCCGGAUUUAUUGGGCGUAAAGGGCUCGUAGGUGGUUGAUCGCGUCGGAAGUGUAAUCUUGGGGCUUAACCCUGAGCGUGCUUUCGAUACGGGUUGACUUGAGGAAGGUAGGGGAGAAUGGAAUUCCUGGUGGAGCGGUGGAAUGCGCAGAUAUCAGGAGGAACACCAGUGGCGAAGGCGGUUCUCUGGGCCUUUCCUGACGCUGAGGAGCGAAAGCGUGGGGAGCGAACAGGCUUAGAUACCCUGGUAGUCCACGCUGUAAACGGUGGGUACUAGGUGUGGGGUCCAUUCCACGGGUUCCGUGCCGUAGCUAACGCUUUAAGUACCCCGCCUGGGGAGUACGGCCGCAAGGCUAAAACUCAAAGGAAUUGACGGGGCCCCGCACAAGCGGCGGAGCAUGCGGAUUAAUUCGAUGCAACGCGUAGAACCUUACCUGGGUUUGACAUGGAUCGGGAGCGCUCAGAGAUGGGUGUGCCUCUUUUGGGGUCGGUUCACAGGUGGUGCAUGGCUGUCGUCAGCUCGUGUCGUGAGAUGUUGGGUUAAGUCCCGCAACGAGCGCAACCCUUGUUCACUGUUGCCAGCACGUUAUGGUGGGGACUCAGUGGAGACCGCCGGGGUCAACUCGGAGGAAGGUGGGGAUGACGUCAAGUCAUCAUGCCCCUUAUGUCCAGGGCUUCACGCAUGCUACAAUGGCUGGUACAGAGAGUGGCGAGCCUGUGAGGGUGAGCGAAUCUCGGAAAGCCGGUCUCAGUUCGGAUUGGGGUCUGCAACUCGACCUCAUGAAGUCGGAGUCGCUAGUAAUCGCAGAUCAGCAACGCUGCGGUGAAUACGUUCCCGGG